rnacentral:rRNA from 1 species
GUCUAAGGCCAUACCACCCUGAACGCACCCAAUCUCAUCUGAUCUCGGAAGCUAAGCAGGGUCAGGCCUGAUUUGUACUUAGAUGGGAGACUGCCUGGGAAUACCACGUGCUGUAGGCU